rnacentral:rRNA from 1 species
GAUGAACGCUAGCGAUAGGCCUAACACAUGCAAGUCGAGGGGCAGCAUUGCUUGUAGCAAUACAACCAGAUGGCGACCGGCGCACGGGUGAGUAACACGUAUGCAACCUACCUUCUACAGAGGCAUAGCCCGAAGAAAUUCGGAUUAAUACCCCAUAACACAAGCCUGCCGCAUGGCAGACUUGUUAAAGAAGCAAUUCAGUAGAAGAUGGGCCUGCGUUCCAUUAGCCGGUUGGUGAGGUAACGGCUCACCAAAGCAACGAUGGAUAGGGGAACUGAGAGGUUUAUCCCCCACACUGGAGCUGAGACACGGACCAGACUCCUACGGGAGGCAGCAGUGAGGAAUAUUGGUCAAUGGGCGAAAGCCUGAACCAGCCAAAUCGCGUGAAGGAAGACAGCCCUACGGGUUUUAAACUUCUUUUGUAAGAGAGUAAAAAGUGCUACGAGUAGCACCUUGCAAGUAUCUUACGAAUAAGCAUCGGCUAACUCCGUGCCAGCCGCCGCCGUAAAAC